UACAGAGGGUGCAAGCGUUAAUCGGAAUUACUGGGCGUAAAGCGUGCGCAGGCGGUUUUGUAAGCCAGAUGUGAAAUCCCCGGGCUUAACCUGGGAAUGGCAUUUGGGACUGCAAGGCUGGAGUGCGGCAGAGGAGACUGGAAUUCCUGGUGUAGCAGUGAAAUGCGUAGAUAUCAGGAGGAACACCGAUGGCGAAGGCAGGUCUCUGGGCUGACACUGACGCUCAUGCACGAAAGCGUGGGGAGCAAACAGG
rnacentral:rRNA from 1 species